GCAGAAUCUUAAAUAUCUUUUCAUACUUUAUUCCCAACAAUAGAUGUGAGCUCCAAGACCUUCUUAACAUUCAUUUCCUUUCAGUAUUUCAUACCAAAGCCCAUGAUUUUAAUUGUGAGGUAAGGAAAAGUUGCUACAAAUGUGAUAGAAAAUAAAUUAAACAUCGGCAAACAUCUGGUUCUUUCUUUUUUAUUUUUAACCAUGUGAAAUGGAGUAUGGCACAUCAGGAUGUUGCUGGAUUAACACUAGGAGAGUAGGUGGAACAGUGCAAUGCCGCCUUCUGUAGGAUCACAGUGACCACAAAACCCAAGCAGGAUGCUCAGACCUGCCGACCCUCAUGGCCAUGUGCUGGAAUCAGCAAAAGUUUGACAAUUUGGCCAUUUCACUUACUCACUGAUAUCAGAAGACUCUGUUGAUCUAAGGACAGUGUCAGUUUGGAGACUUCAGGAGGAGCAGAAGAUUCUUGUUGCAGGGAUGAACCAUCAUUGGAAAUCUCUUUCAGCUUGUGCUGAUGCCAUCAGAGAGCUGUCCUGCUUGUUUUCUAACGAGACAAUGAAAAGUAUGUAUUUGUAAUAAAUUGCAUAAUGGCAAUGGAUAUUUUUAUUUUGUUGUUAGUAAGAGUAUAAC